AAUGCGACCUCAGCUCAGGCGGGG
rnacentral:rRNA from 1 species